rnacentral:lncRNA from 1 species
GGUAAUUACUGAUCUUGCUAUGCCAUUUAAUUAAAUGUUUUUUCUCAAAACUAUUUUAAUCUACUCAUUGAAGAAGGAAAGAAGGAAGGAAGGAAGGAAGGAAGGAAGGAAGGAAGGAAGGAAGGAAGGAAGGAAGGAAGGAAGGAAGGAAGGAAGGAAGGAAGGAAGAAAGAAAGAAAGAAAGAAAGAAAGAAAGAAAGAAAGAGAAAGAAAGAAAGAAAGAAAGAAAGAAGGAAAGAAAGAAAGAGGCAGGGAGGGAGAAAGGGAGGAAGGAAGGAAGGAAGGAAGGAAGGAAGGAAGGAAGGAAGGAAGGAAGGAAGGAAGGAAGGAAGGAAGGAAGGAAGGAAGGAAGGAAGGAAGGAAGGAAGGAAGGAAGGAAGGAAGGAGGAAAGGAAGGGAGGAAAGGAAGGGAGGAAGGAAGAAAACUCCUAUAAAUAAAUAUACAUAAUCAGGUAAAACAAAUUUCCACAUUGGUUAUGUCCCAAAAAAAGUCUCCUUUUGCACUCUGAGUCAACAUCUCUCUAUCACAAGGUGGUUACCAUGCUUCAUUUUUAAUACCCUGUAACCACAGUUGGUCACUAUGUUCAUAAAUGUCCUUAAGUUUUUCAAAAUUGUACGUCUUUAGGGUAUUGUAAGAGUAUAGAUUUUUUUCCUGGUUCUCUUCAGUUUCCCUAUAUCAGUUAAUAGAAAUCCUCCCAGGUGUCUAUGAAUCUAUCUGUUUUAUAAUUUCUUAUGCUGCAAAAUAUUCCACAUUGUUCAUAAAAAUAAUAAUAGCUCAUAUCGAUGUAGCAUUUACUAUAGGGCAAGGUCUGAGCUAAGCACUUUGCAAAUCUGAUCUCAUUUGAGCCCUGUGAGGCAGAUGCUAUUAUUAUCCCCAUUUUUACAGUCAAGGAAACAGGAAAACAGAGGUUAAGGGAUGUGGCCAGGGUCCCACAGCCAGGGAGUGCUGGGCGCCAUAUCUAUAAUCAGGUCUUCCUGACUCCAGUCCUGGUCCACUACCUGUAGCAUCACCUAGUAUAAACAUAUUACUACAAUAUACAACAUUGUGUGAAAUGUGCCAUAGAGAAAUUCCCCCAAAAAAGUGCUGUGUGAAAUGUGAGGGAAAAUAACUUCCUUGUAAAAAAUAGGACUUAAUUUAGACUUCAAUGGAUUCAUGUGCAUUCACUAGUCAAAGAAAGGGAAGAAAAGAUGUUCCAUGUAGAUAUAACCCUGUGAAUUGAGGCAUAGAGGUGGGAGAUCACAGGGCAUGUUGGAAGCAGUGAGAGAGAUUCUGGUCUGAAUUCAGGAAAGCCUGAGUUCAAAUUUGACCUCAGCACUCACUUGCUGAGUGAUCCUCACUUAACCUCUGGUCUGGCUUAGUUUCCUCAUCUGUAAAAUGAGGAUAAUAGCAGCACCUGUCUCCCAGGGUGGUUGUGAAUAUCAAACAAGAUCAUAAUUGUAAAGUGCUUAGCCCAGUGCCUGGUAAAGAGUAAGAACUAUAUAAAUGUUAAUUAUUAUUAUUAUCUUGUUUUAUUGUAUUAUAGACUGCCUGGAGAGGGGUAAGAUGAGAUAUGACUGGAAAUAUCAGCUGAUGCCAUACUUUUGAGGGCUUUGAAUGCCAGACAAGGGAGUUUGGAAUAUAUUUGGUAUUUUGGAACCACUGAAGAUUUUUAAGCAGAGGCAGUGCAGUGUCUGGAGGCAGGACAAAACUAAGUUCAAAACCAGCCUUAGACACUUAUUAGCUGUGUGAUCCUGAGCCUAUCAUUUAACCUCUGUCUGCCUCAGUCUUCUCAACUGUAAAGUGGGUUAAUAACAGCAUCUAUCCCAUGGGGUGGUUGUGAGGACAUUUGUAAAGAGCUUAGCACAAUGCCUGGUGCAUAGUAGAUACUUUAUAAAUGCCUAUUUCCUGCCUUCAUAUGUGUGGGAGCUAAUAUUCUGGCAGAGAUUAAAAGGAUGAAAUUGGAAAGGGGAAAGAAUGGAGGUCUUUGCUUGAAGACCACCAGGGAUGGGAAAAUUACUAUUUCCUGAGGCAGCAUGACUUUUGGAUCAUUUUAAUUGCUGAGAAGUUUUUCCUUGGAACAGCUGAAAUUUUCUCUGUAUCUUCCACCAUUACUACUAGUAUUCUUCUUCUUAGCUAAGUAAAACAAAUCCAGUUCCUCCCCAACAUGAUCCUUUAAAUGCUCAAAGGCUGUUGUGGUGUCUGCCUCCCACCUCCACUUUCAAUGAGUCCUUUCUUUUCCAAACUAACCACCCACCCCUUCCUAUCCCUUUGGCUCAUGUGGCUUCCAGUCUCCUCUCCAUCUGAGUUGCCUUCCUCUGCCCAAACAUGGCGCAGGAAACUAAUUCUCCAGAUGGGCCCAAGAAGGACAAGAAUACUCUUCCCUUCCCUAGUUUGGGACUCUACCUUUCUUCAUGAAGCCUCCCACAAUGAGUUUUUCAAUCACACACUAUUGAUUCAUAUUUAAUUCAGUGAUUACUAAAACUCACUUCUUUUUCUACAGUUCACCGUCAAAUUAAACUGCCCAUCUCUGCUGGAAUGGUUCCCAACUGGAAUAAAGAAAGACAAGGGCAAAUCUACA